rnacentral:rRNA from 1 species
CAGCCGUAAACUAUGCGCGUUAGGUGUAUCGAUGACCACGAGUUACCGAGGUGCCGAAGGGAAACCGUGAAACGUGCCGCCUGGGAAGUACGGUCGCAAGGCUGAAACUUAAAGGAAUUGGCGGGGGAGCACAACAACGGGUGGAGCCUGCGGUUUAAUUGGACUCAACGCCGGACAACUCACCGGGGACGACAGCAAUAUGUAGGCCAGGCUGAAGACCUUGCCUGAAUCGCUGAGAGGAGGUGCAUGGCGUAGACGUCU